rnacentral:rRNA from 1 species
UACGGGGGGGGCAAGCGUUGUUCGGAAUUACUGGGCGUAAAGGGCUCGUAGGCGGCCAACUAAGUCAGACGUGAAGUCCCUCGGCUUAACCGGGGAACUGCGUCUGAUACUGGAUGGCUUGAGGUUGGGAGAGGGAUGCGGAAUUCCAGGUGUAGCGGUGAAAUGCGUAGAUAUCUGGAGGAACACCGGUGGCGAAGGCGGCAUCCUGGACCAAUUCUGACGCUGAGUGAGCGAAAGCCAGGGGAGCAAACGGG